UACGUAGGGGGCAAGCGUUAUCCGGAUUUACUGGGUGUAAAGGGAGCGUAGACGGUGUGGCAAGUCUGAUGUGGAAGGCAUGGGCUCAACCUGUGGACUGCAUUGGAAACUGUCAUACUUGAGUGCCGGAGGGGUAAGCGGAAUUCCUAGUGUAGCGGUGAAAUGCGUAGAUAUUAGGAGGAACACCAGUGGCGAAGGCGGCUUACUGGACGGUAACUGACGUUGAGGCUCGAAAGCGUGGGGAGCAAACAGG
rnacentral:rRNA from 1 species